CCUACGGGUGGCAGCAGUGGGGAAUAUUGGACAAUGGGGGGAACCCUGAUCCAGCCAUGCCGCGUGUGUGAAGAAGGCCCUCGGGGUGUAAAGCACUUUCAGUGAGGAAGAACGCCUGGUGGUUAAUACCCAUCAGGAAAGACAUCACUCACAGAAGAAGCACCGGCUAACUCCGUGCCAGCAGCCGCGGUAAUACGGAGGGUGCGAGCGUUAAUCGGAAUUACUGGGCGUAAAGCGCGCGUAGGUGGCUUGAUAAGCCGGUUGUGAAAGCCCCGGGCUCAACCUGGGAACGGCAUCCGGAACUGUCAAGCUAGAGUGCAGGAGAGGAAGGUAGAAUUCCCGGUGUAGCGGUGAAAUGCGUAGAGAUCGGGAGGAAUACCAGUGGCGAAGGCGGCCUUCUGGACUGACACUGACACUGAGGUGCGAAAGCGUGGGUAGCAAACAGGAUUAGAUACCCGUGUAGUC
rnacentral:rRNA from 1 species